GGCUCAGAAUGAACGCUGGCGGCGUGCUUAACACAUGCAAGUCGCACGAGAACACCUCAGCUUGCUGGGGUAAGUAAAGUGGCGCACGGGUGAGUAACGCGUGGGUAAUCUGCCCUCGAAUCUGGGAUAACCCCGCGAAAGCGGGGCUAAUACCGGAUGAAAUCCAGUUAGCUUUGGCUAUAUGGAUCAAAGGUGGCCUCUGCAUGCAAGCUACUGUUUGGGGAUGAGCCCGCGUACCAUUAGCUUGUUGGUGGGGUAAAGGCCCACCAAGGCGACGAUGGUUAGCUGGUCUGAGAGGAUGAUCAGCCACACUGGAACUGGAACACGGUCCAGACUCCUACGGGAGGCAGCAGUGAGGAAUUUUGCGCAAUGGGGGUAACCCUGACGCAGCAACGCCGCGUGAGUGAUGAAGGCCUUCGGGUCGUAAAGCUCUGUCAAGUGGGAAGAACCCAUUCCGGCACAACAAGCCGGGGUGCUGACGGUACCACUGAAGGAAGCACCGGCUAACUCCGUGCCAGCAGCCGCGGUAAUACGGAGGGUGCGAGCGUUAUUCGGAAUUACUGGGCGUAAAGGGCGCGUAGGCGGCCGAUUAAGUCAGAUGUGAAAUCCCGGGGCUUACCCCCGGAAGUGCAUUUGAUACUGAACGGCUUGAGUAUGGGAGAGGGAAGUGGAAUUCCUGGUGUAGCGGUGAAAUGCGUAGAUAUCAGGAGGAACACCGGUGGCGAAGGCGACUUCUGGCAGCUUACCGACGCUGAGGUACGAAAGGUAGGGUAGCAAACAGGAUUAGAGACCCUGGUAGUCCUACCUGUAAACGUUGUAUACUAGGUGGUGGAAGUUUAAUAUCUUUCUCUGCCGGAGUUAACGCAUUAAGUAUACCGCCUGGGGAGUAUGCCGGCAACGGUGAAACUCAAAGGAGUUGACGGGGCCCCGCACAAGCAGUGGAGCAUGUUGAUUAAUUCGAUGAUACGCGAGGAACCUUACCAGGUCUUGACAUAUAUCUGACGCACAUAGAGAUAUGUGUUCUCUUUUGAGCAGAUAUACAGGUGCUGCAUGGUUGUCGUCAGCUCGUGCCGUGAGGUGUUGGGUUAAGUCCCGCAACGAGCGCAAUCCCUAUUCUUUGUUGCUAACGGGUAAUGCUGAGCACUCGAAGGAAACUGCCGGUGACAAACCGGAGGAAGGUGGGGAUGAGGUCAAAUCAUCACGGCCCUUAUGACCUGGGCUUCAAACGUGCUACAAUGGGUGGUACAAAGAGUAGCCAACCUGUGAAGGGGAGCCAAUCUCAAAAAGCCACCCCAAGUUCGGAUUGGAGUCUGCAACUCGACUCCAUGAAGUUGGAAUUGCUAGUAAUCGCACAUCACCAUGGUGCGGUGAAUAUGUUCCCGGGGCUUGUACACACCGCCCGUCACAUCACCCGAGUUGAUAUACCCGAAGUAUCCGGGCUACCCAUUUAGGGGGGCAGGUCCGAAGGUAUGUUUGGCAAGGGGGAUGAA
rnacentral:rRNA from 1 species